rnacentral:tRNA from 1 species
UGUUUAUGUGGGUGGCUCAGUGGUUAGAGCCUAGGUCUUGGGAGCAAAAGGUCCCGGGAUCGAAUCCUGCAAGGGGCAG